rnacentral:tRNA from 1 species
UGCUCUGUAGCUUAGUUGGUUAAAGCGCCGGUCUAGCGUACACGGAGUCGUGAGUUCGAGUCUCACUAGAACGC